UGCGUAGGCGGACCCUUAAGUCAGUGGUGAAAGUUUGCAGCUCAACUGUAAAAUUGCCAUUGAAACUGAGGGCCUUGAGUGUAAAUAAGGUAGGCGGAAUGUGUUGUGUAGCGGUGAAAUGCUUAGAUAUAACACAGAACACCAAUUGCGAAGGCAGCUUACUGGGAUACAACUGACGCUGAGGCACGAAAGCGUGGGGAUCAAACAGGAUUAGAUACCCUGGUAGUCCACGCAGUAAACGAUGAAUACUAACUGUAUGCGAUAUACUGUAUGUGGUAAAGCGAAAGCGUUAAGUAUUCCACCUGGGGAGUACGUUCGCAAGAAUGAA
rnacentral:rRNA from 1 species